UACAGAGGGGGCAAGCGUUAUUCGGAAUUAUUGGGCGUAAAGGGCGCGUAGGCGGCUUGGCAAGUGGAUGGUGAAAUCCCUCGGCUUAACCGAGGAACUGCCGUCCAAACUGCUUUGCUUGAGACCGGGAGAGGUGAGUGGAAUUCCCAGUGUAGCGGUGAAAUUCGUAGAUAUUCGGAAGAACACCAGUGGCGAAGGCGACUCACUGGACAUGUAUUGACGCUGAGGUGCGAAAGCGUGGGGAGCAAACAGG
rnacentral:rRNA from 1 species